UAUUAAUGAUUGUAUUAUAUAAAAAACAGGUUUCGUUGAGUUAAAUAAUAGAUGUAAAUCUGAGAACGCCGUGUACCCGUACAUUUUUCUAAAUGGCCUGUAGAUGGCGACAUUGUAACAGCUAAUUCAAAGCGGCACAUUGCUCUGACAGGAUGUGUAAGGAAAGAAGGUGGGAUUUCCUCUGAUAUUCUGAAGGGGAGAUGCUGCAUAAUGGCAUGCACUUGUUUUAUAUUUGCUUUUGGUCAUCUGGCGCGAAUAUGUUUAAUUUUAGCCAUUGACAGCAAUACCAUCUAAAUUGAAACGACCUGUUUUUACUAUACAUCCGAGGUUUGUUGCUCCAAUAUCAUUAGAGGAGGAUAAUAAUGUGGUGAUUUGCGGAUGGUGUAGCAGUCGCGUGAUACAGUAUCUUUGCAAGUGACCAUCAUCAUUAUCAUCCAUAGGGAAAGAAAGAGCAGAAAACAAUGGCGGACAAAAGUGACCUAAAAGCCCAGCUAGAGCGCAAAAAGCAGUGCCUAGCUCAGAUCAGGGAGGAGAAGAAGAGGAAGGAGGAGGAGAGGAAGGAGGAAAGGAGGAAAAAAACAGACGCAGCAGAAGGCUGAAGCUGCCUCAGUGGACUCGGACCGUGACUUGGACCGGAAGCGCAGAGAGACAGAGGCUCUCCUACAGAGCAUCGGCAUCUCCCCAGAACCACCACUAGUUCCGAUCCCCAUGUCCCCAUCCAAAUCAGUGAGCCGACACAGCACCCCCAGUGAGACGAGAAGCCAGGACUCAGCCGAUGGGGCCGCAGCCGGCAGGUAGGCAGCCAUCUUGUUUAUAUUACUGUUAUUAUACUGCAUUUUUAAACAAUCAGCAUUCAGGAUUAGACCCACCCGUUGUAUAAUUAAGUGAUAAUGCCCGAGAAGCCAGUGUUUAGAUUAUUUAUUGGCACAGGUGUUGUAGGCCCAAGACUAAGUCAUAGAUUUAGCCGGUGGUAACUUGUGGAAUAGACACCGGCUGGAAUGCGGUUUUAACCAAUCAGCAUUCAGGAUUAGACCCACCCAUUGUAUAAUUUACUGUAACAUAUGGUUGAGUUGGAGUUACUGACCCAAACUAGGGCCAGGCCAAGAUAAACUGGAAUAUUGACUAGAUGAUAAUAUAAUGAGUAUGGUUCUUAACAUCCCUGAUGUGAUGGAUGAUUUCUGAAAGAAAAUCCUUGACUGUUUAGAUUCAGUAGUAUUAAAGUAGUAUUACUGUAGUAUUAUAGUGCCCCUUUGGCUUUAAGGAAUGCUACACGUAAAAUGCAUCAUAUGAUGCAUUAAGGCUAGUUUUUGCUCUACUGACAGUACUUUAUCUUGAAAACCUGACUGCUGACAUGCACAAUUUUGGGGGAUUGACUAAUUGUCAAAUACUUAAAGAUAGUUUUAAUGAUCUGGUGGUUGUAGUAAAGUGACCAAACACUUUAUGAGCAUACAAUGUAUCUGUGCUUCUAGCUCUCUUACUCUGACCAAUAUCUGGCUUUGUCUCUUUGUAUGGGACCUGCAGGUAUAGGUAAGGACCAAUGUCAAUGAGUGUGUUGUGGCUUGUAGCUGCAGGUUUUGAUACAACGCAUGUUACUGUCAUUCAUCUCAUUCUAUCACAACAUUAACACAAUUCACAAGUCAACAUUUCAUCUCUAAACUGCUUGAUGUGAGAAAUUAUAUUUAGAUGUAACUUGGCAUAUCAAAACUCAAGGAAUUUAUGCAUAACUUCUCAUGUUACUUUAGUUUUAUGCUGUUUUAAGUUCCAAUACAAAUUUGUAGGAAAAGAUAAUUCUCUAAAUGGUUAACUUUUCAGAGACCAUCCUUGGCCACAAAAUGUCUUCCAAGUCCUGUACAUUCUAGAAUGCUCUGUAAUGCUCAACUUGAUGCACAUAAAUCAACUCUCACUUCUUUAAAGAUGCAGCCUAAUCAUAAGUCACACAGUGAUAUGAGGACGAUUGAUCUAGUUUCUGCCAUCUGCACCCAUAGCCAGCAGACAGGUCCAUAAUUAAGACACUAUAAUGUACUGGCAGCUGGCUUUGCGGGAAAGGCAGUGAGCCCAAUGUGACAUGUGACACUCACUCAGGUGCUGUCACUGCUCUCCUCAGGAAGCCAAGGCUACGUUCUCAGGCGUCAUGCACUGCUGCAACCCAUGUAUUAUACAUGCUUACAACUGAAUGUGUCAUCAUAGCUCAUGUUCAGCUCUUUCUCACACACCAAACCAACACUGGUCCAAUUGUGUCAGAUUUCUGUCACUGAGAAGAACCGCUAGAACUGCAAUAGAAUAUAAUCUCUAUCAAUCAUUAUUUGACUCUGUCAUCUGGUAGCUAAGCAGGCUGCCAUUGCCGAGGUGAAUACAGUGAGUUUCAGAGGCGGCUGGUGUUUGCAUAUAUAAGAGGACAGAGUCAUUGCUAUGGCUGGAAUGGAAUAAAUGGAA